AACCUAGCACACCUGCGGUGUGUACCUGCGGAGGGAUCAUUACUGAGUGAGGGCCUUCGGGCUCGACCUCCAACCCUUUGUGAACACAACUUGUUGCUUCGGGGGCGACCCUGCCGUUUCGACGGCGAGCGCCCCCGGAGGCCUUCAAACACUGCAUCUUUGCGUCGGAGUUUAAGUAAAUUAAACAAAACUUUCAGCAAUGGAUCU
rnacentral:misc_RNA from 1 species